rnacentral:tRNA from 1 species
UCCAGGGUAGCCUAGUGGACAUGGCAUCUGCCCGGUAAGCGGAACGUUGUGGGUUCGAUUCCCGCCCCUGAAC